rnacentral:sRNA from 1 species
GAAAGAGGAGAAAGCAGUAAUGCAUAUAGAAAAGAAUGAGAAGGAAUUUAAAAGGGAAAUAACAUCAUCUCAUUAUAUUUUGAAUGUGGACCAUUUCACCCAGAAACUUCACUCAAUCUUUUCUGGUUUUGUGCUUCACUUACUGUUAAUUGUUUCUGCCAUCCCAGUUCUGCCAUUCUAGGACAUGGGGGAUGUGGAACAUACAGCAUUUGGCCUGACUAGACUGCCACUAUGGCUGUUGUCAGGAGAUUAGAGAUACUGCUUUCUCAGCAAGGAGUACUUCCUAUUCCCACCCUUGCCUAAAUGAUAGAUUUUGCCUAAAUCCCAAAGCUAGAUCUCUGGAUUUUAUCAUUUGUGUAGAUAGCAAAAAUGGCCACAAACUCUUUCCUUCUCAUCAAGAGGUGCCAUCUUUUUUCCAACCCCUUGAAUCUGGAGUUGGCUAUGUGAUUUGAUUUAGCCAGUAGCCCAACAAAUGUGACACAAGCAGAGACUUGAAAAGUUCUUGUGCAUGGGGCUUGUCCUCUUUUGCUGCUCUUGGGAACAUUGCAACUACCAUCAGGUGAACAAGCCUGGACUCUCCUGCUGCAUGACAAGAGAAAAGGGCCCAGUUACCCCUGUCACCCUAUCUGACAGCCCAUCAACUUCCAGCUGAUGCAGACAUGAGAAAGGAGAACUACCUGGAUUCCUUGAGUGUCUGAAGUUCA